rnacentral:rRNA from 1 species
GCCUUGCCAGCCCGCUCAGAAACUCAAAGGAAUUUGACGGGGGCCCGCACAAGCGGUGGAGCAUGUGGUUUAAUUCGAUGAUACGCGAGGAACCUUACCUGGGCUCAAAUGUAUGUUGACGUAUUCUGAAAGGGAUACUUCUUCGGACAAUAUACAAGGUGCCGCAUGGUUGUCGUCAGCUCGUGCCGUGAGGUGUCGGGUUAAGUCCCAUAACGAGCGCAACCCCUAUUGUUAGUUGCCAUCAGGUCAUGCUGGGGACUCUAACAAAACUGCCCGCGUAAGCGUGGAGGAAGGUGGGGAUGACGUCAAAUCAGCACGGCCCUUACGUCCAGGGCUACACACGUGCUACAAUGGCCGGUACAGAGGGCAGCCACUUGGUGACAAGGAGCAAAUCUCAAAAGCCGGUCUCAGUUCGGAUCGGAGUCUGCAACUCGACUCCGUGAAGUUGGAUUCGCUAGUAAUCGUAGAUCAGCAAUGCUACGGUGAAUACGUUCCCGGGCCUU